rnacentral:rRNA from 1 species
CGAGCGAGCACGGAUUUCUUCGGAUGAAGUGACUGAGCGGCGGACGGGUGAGUAACGCGUGGGUACCUGCCUCAUACAGGGGGAUAACAGUUGGAAACGGCUGCUAAUACCGCAUAAGACCGCAUGGUAAAAACUCCGGUGGUAUGAGAUGGACCCGCGUCUGAUUAGCUAGUUGGUGGGGUAACGGCCUACCAAGGCGACGAUCAGUAGCCGACCUGAGAGGGUGACCGGCCACAUUGGGACUGAGACACGGCCCAAACUCCUACGGGAGGCAGCAGUGGGGAAUAUUGCACAAUGGGGGAAACCCUGAUGCAGCGACGCCGCGUGAGCGAUGAAGUAUUUCGGUAUGUAAAGCUCUAUCAGCAGGGAAGAAAAUGACGGUACCUGACUAAGAAGCCCCGGCUAACUACGUGCCAGCAGCCGCGGUAAUACGUAGGGGGCAAGCGUUAUCCGGAUUUACUGGGUGUAAAGGGAGCGUAGACGGCAUGGCAAGCC